UGAACUUGGGUCAGAGAAAUAUGAAAUUUGCAAGGAUUCACUUGGAGAAGCUGGAGUAGGGCACCGUUGUUUUUGAAGCUUUUCUUCUGAAGGAUUUUUCUCAAUCUGGAUCUGCAACUGGUUUUCCACAUUCUCAGUUUGUUUGGGCUCCUUGACUUCAGAAGACCGGAAAUACACAUUCUAUAAAGCCAACCAGAAAUGAGAGAAUCUCACAUAAAAGGCAACGAAGAUGUGUUUGCUGAUUAUUCGAUAAAGGGGAAGUAUAGCAGGGCUUUUGCUCUUGCUCCUCCACUAGCUGGCCUUGGACAACUGAUAUCCUCAGGAUCUCAUCACCACGGCACACCUUUCUUAGGUCUCACACUGUUCUUUGCAACCUCUAAGGGUAUGAGGAUCAGACCACCCACUCCCUCUCCUCAUUUUACCUGGGGUUUGAUACAGGUUGCCAGCACUGCCCAAAUCUUCCGUUCAGGACUUUUCAACUCUUUUUGAUCCCAGAUGGGGAAUGUUCUGUGACAGUUUACCAAGUCCAUAAACACUUGCUAAGCACCUACUACGUCCCAGGCACUGUGCUAAACAGAUUCAAGGAAAGGCAUAAGAGCCCCUGACCUGAAGGAGCUAUUGACCAUUGGUGAGGGGGUCCCUUUGUAAAGUACCACUGGAUUGGACCUUUGGAGAAACCCUUGGCAGGGGGUGUAGUCUACUCCCUGGACAAUUCACACCAGCUGCUGGAGAUCUGGGGUUCAAGUUCUGGAAAUGCAGGUGAACAAAAAAGCGGCUAUGAAGAAGAGCUCCAGGGUAUGUGUGUGUGCACAUUUGUUGCUUUUUGUCUUGUGUGCUUUUUAUGUCUAGAUAUGCUGUAGAUUAUUAAUGUGUUACAUCUGUUGUAUAUGUUGCAUGUGUAUUGUAUUACAUGCUCUUUGUAUUCUUUGUAUGUGUGAUGGAUUGUGCACCUGUUGUGUAUACACAUGGAAGGUUGUGGGCACAUGUGUACACUGUGUGUUGUAUGGUAUGGGUACACAUUGUUCGUAGGUAUGGUGAUCUCUAGGCUUUGUGUUGCAGAUGUGUUGUACUCCUGUGUGUUUGUGUGUGUACAUUGUUAUAUACAUGUGCCACGUGUAGGAUCGUGGGCGUAUGCUGUGUGCUGUGCUGUGUAUAUGGAUUGUGUGUAUGUACAUCUCUUGUGUGUAUGUUGCUCUGCAGGCUGUGUCUUGGGCAGGUGUGCUCUGUCUGUGGUAUGCAUGAGGUGCAUGAGCUGUAUUGUGUGUGCAGUGUGGAAGUGGAGGCGUGCUGCUUGUCUGGGAUGCAUGUUUGUGGGUGAUGUAUGUGUGCGCUUGUGUCUAUGAGCAGGCCCGGAGGGAAGGAGGGGAAGCUACUGCCUCCGGACGCCUCUGAGCAGCCCCCAGCACACGUCCUCCAGAAGGCACGCUCAGGACAGGGGGACUGGGUGGUCCUAACUCGUCCAUCAGGACUGUGGGAGAGCCUGGGCCCGGGAAGGCAGCAGCAGCAGUGGGCUGACGGCUGCUCCCAUAACGGUGAGCAAGGAGGCUGGCACAGGGUGGGCAUUUGGGAAGGGCUGCUUCAGGGAGAGAGGAUGAAUGAAUGAAUGCAGAAAGGAACCCUCCCCAAGGGCUAAGCAUGGGACUAACCUGAUGGAGGAGAUGGAAAAGCGAAAUGAUCCCUGCUCCAGGGACCUCUAGAGUCCUGGAACUCAGAGUGGGGUUAAGUGCCAUGGGAAACAGUCACUCACCAGAGCUUUUGUGUCUUUUUCCACAGUUGCUAUUGAAAGGGAUCCGGAAAUCAAAAACUGUAGAGAGGAGAAUCUGGAUGUUAAUGAUUGAAAGAGAGGCAGUAUUUCCAAAUGGCUAGAGUUCAGGGCUUGGAAUCAGAGAAGCCCAAACCCCAUACUGCAGCUGAUACUUGCUAGUCUAGUGGCCACGGUCAAAUCCCUCUCUGGCCGGUUUAUUGGAGGGACGUAAUUCUGGAUGCUUGUCCUGUACUCGGAGAACCUGGAGUCCAAACCCUGGGCCCCGCCAUUUAAUGAUUCUUUGUACCUCAGUUAUCUCAUUUGUAAAAUGAAGGGGGAGGAACUGCCUGAUUUCUAUCAAUGAGUCUAUGACUUGUAUGAGGAAAAGGCUUUACUAGUUCUUUAAAACACUACAGAAAUGCAAAUUGUAAUGUGUUCUAGUCUAAUGAGCCUACCUUGAAUUUCUAAAGUUCUUAAACAUUACAGGGCUCUUCAGCAUCUCUGUGGAGUCCCUGGUAUAAGGAACAGCAUACUCAUUUUAUAGAUUUGGACCCAGGGGUUCAGUAUCUUGCCCAUGGUCGCCUAUGAGCCUGGGAUUGAACACACAGAUCCCAACAUGAUCUGCUCUCCUGUCUCCCUCUCUGCAUAUUCUUUUUGGCCCCAUCUGCAUCCCCAUCCUUCCAGUCAUCAGUUCCUUGGGGCAUAUCUGGGGCACAGAAUAAGGGGGAGAAGCACAAGUUACAGACACAGCAUCAUGUGAUGGGGAAUGGGGCCAGGAAGACAGAAGGCAGGCAGGGACAUUCUUUGUGACUCCAGAGCUAGAUUUCCGCACCCCAUCCUAAGUGAGGCUUCUGUAAUGGCAGAUAUUCCAAAGAGAGGGUUUAGACGGACUGGACAUUUGUAGCCACAGAAUGGCACUUAUUUUUCUAAACUUUGCACUCAUUAUCCUUAGGUGCUUCAGGAAAGUUCAACCUAUGUCCCUUUGUUAAGGUAUAAAGAGCCAGAACUGGGGGCUGACUUGGUUCUUACAUGCCUGGCAGACAUGUUAAAAUAGAUGUGAUUCCCAGAUGGCUUAACAUGAUUCACUGUCACUUUUGUAGGGGCUUAUGGAUCUUUUGCAUACCUUUUUCUCCCUCCCUCCUAUUUCUUCAGGCCAAAGUCUCUCUGGUGGACUGGCCAAAAGGUGAGUGUCAGACUUCAUUAUCUCAAGGGGCCACUUACAGCUCUUCAAGUAAAGCAAUAUCAUGCUAGUACCCUAGCAGCCUGGGGUGCCAGAAUUUGAAUGUAAGACCUCAAGUUUGAGGGCCUGGUUUAGAACCCAGGACUUGGCUCUGAGACCAUCUCUGUGUUUGUGCCCAUCACAAAUCUUUCAAGUCAUUAGGUCUCCACUUGACAAGUGAGUAUGAGUCUUAUUCACAUUUCUUUAAUACUUUAUAGUUUUCCAAAUGUUUUCCUCCCAAGUGAUUGUGCAAGGUACCUAAUACAAAUUAUUUUCAUUUGCAGAUGAGAAAAAUAAGGAUUGGAGUGAAGUGAUUGUCACAGAUCUGUGGCUUAUGAGAAAAAGCUAAAAAUUGAAUCCAGCCUCACAUGUAGUAUUCUUGAUUCCCAGAGAGACUAAACAGGUUAUCCAAUCUGCAUGGAGCUAUGUUUGGGAGGAGGGUGUUUGUGUGUGUGUGUGUGUGUGUGUGUGUGUGUGUGUGUUCAUAGGACUGAAUGCAACUGCUUCUUCCCAACCUUUUAAUUUUGGGACCAUACUAGCAUGUACUUGUCUGAAGGUAGGGACCCAGGCCCACUCCGCCUCCUAAAGAUUUCCUGAAAAAUCCAGCCUGACUCUCAGGCUACAUCUGACUAUGGUACUUCACUCUAGCGCUUCCCUGGUGGCAGCAGUUGCAGCCUGGAGAUCUGAUCACUUCUGUGGGACAGAAAAAAGUCUGGGCAUGCUGUGCUUUGCAGGUUUCUGAAAGCUUUAGCCCUGAUCCAUCUCUUUCUAGCUCCCUGUAGGCUUAUGGGUAGAUGGGUGGACCUGUGACAGCUAAGGCCACUACAGUCUCCAGCAGGGUAGUGUUGGUGGUGAUGAGUCCAGAAUGCUGGGCAAAGCUGAGGAGUAAAUCUCCAUUAUAGUCACCAACAAUGAUCCCACAAAGGGAUGUACAAUGAGUAGGUCAGAGACUAUCUGACAUGGUAAUAGAGACAUUAUUAUUCCAGAGAAGAAAUCCAUCACACUGAGAAUAAUUUGAGAGAUCUGUCAAUAGAGGGAGGGGCCUGGUAAACAAAUGAGGGUGGUCCUUGGCACUUAUUUUUCUAAACUUUGCACCCAUUAUCCAUAGGUACUUCAGGAAAGUUCAACCUCUGUCCCUCUGUUAAGGUGUAAAGAGCCAGGUCUUUGGUUUUCUCCCCUCCAUCCCUCCCUCUGAGUAAAGGCAAGGACACUUAAUUCUAACCCUAUGCCCUUAGGGAUGUCAGCUGUCCUUCCAGGAUCACAGCAAGUCUUAGCCAUAGCUUCAUGGAUGUCAGAGUUAGAAGGGACUUUAGGAACCUUGGUUUUCCUGUCUGGAGCUGUUUAUGUUUUUGCUUUCUCCUUUGUUCACAGGCGGGGCUUGAGGGUCAGGAUGCACUUCUCUGGCUCAUCCCUUGGACAGGCUCCUUAUAGCUUCCUGAGAGUGGGUCUUGGGCAGUUUCUCUGCCAACCCCUCUAUUAUUCUCAAAUGCCCUCUUCCAGGAACACCAUCAUCUACCGUUGUUCCUGCAUCCCCAGUUAAUUCCAGUGGAACAAGAACUCUGACCCAAUUUUCCUCUGUGUCUGGCUUGCAGAAAGGCUGAGUGUGGCCUAACCUAGUUUCUUUGAGGCUGGGUACUUGUACACAUGGAUAUGGAACUUCAGGCUUUGAUACAUUAAAGCUUCCAGUGAUGUGGAGAGCAAGGGAAAGUUCAGCCUCUGUAAUGGGCCAAGUCUUUGUUUUUUUCCCCUCCAUCCAGAGGGACCUGAGUGUCCGGGACACCUGACUUUGACCCUGACCACCUUGGAAUGCUUGUGCCUUUCAGGGUGCAUGGGAUAAAUAGGCCAUGGCUGAGUCUUGUAAGGAGAUGUGUAUAGAGUCUAAAAGAUGUCAUCUCUAGGGGAAUGGAUGACUGGAAAGAGUCAGGGAAGAAUCAGAUCUCUCUCGACAGGAGCAGAGCACUUUGGAUAACCUAAGUAGAGGCCUUUGGUUAAGUUGUCCCUCCAUGCUUGUACCCCAAGAUGUACAGAAUAGGAGGCCAUGCGCCAGAGUCACAAAGGCUGCUCUGGAGGAGUGGCAGUUUACACCUUUAAAGAGAGUUCUUAUUUAAAUGAGAAAAUCAUGGGCACUUGCUAUCCCCACAUCCCCAUAUCCCCAUUUCACCUAUCUCCACACACACAUACAAAUUAUUCCCCACCCCCCACCCCCCAACCAGGUGUCACAGUAGAGAGAAUGCUGAUCUGGAAGCCGCAGCCUUCCUGCCCUGUGCUCUGUGUGACCCUCCUUUUGCCAAUGGGCCCCAGGCCAGCCUCUCAGAAUCAGGUCAGUGUCCAUCCAAGUUCAGAGGCUCCCAUAUGCCAGGCCCAGUGCUAAUCCCAGCAAAGGCUGUGGCAGAGGGUGUUUCCUCCCUGAGAAAGUCGUCCUCUGAAUUAUCUCCAGCAAGGAGUAAGAAAGACCAAGGAGAAGUUGUCAAAGCAUUCUGGCUAUGUUUGGGAAUCCACAGAAAUGACGUUUUAAAAUCCAAUCAGCUCAUGAGGCCGCAAAUUUCCUGCAGAUUCUGAUUCCUGUCAGUGGCGCCUGGCCAAAGUGAGAGGGCCGAGGAUGGCACUCUGAAGACUUAGAAAACUUCCCAAGAAGUAUAAACACAAAUACACAAAACACAAGCAUAUGUUGCUGAGGAAAAAAAUCCUUUUAAUUUGUUCAAUGUUUUGGGUAUCUCCUCCAGCUAGGAAGGCCGGGACUCUCAAUUUUCCAGGCUGUGGAAAAAUUUUGUUGAAAUACUUGGCCUAUCAUCUCCCGACUCUAGCUAUAUCACUUUCCCCAUCCCCUUCUUCCCUUGGCCAAGUCUUGUGUCCAAAUCUUCACAUUAAUAAUGCAAAUACAGUCUCAGACCCUUAACACUUACUAGUUGUGUGAUCCUGGGAAAGUCACUUAAUCCCAAUUGCCUCAUUUAAAUAAGUACUAUGUAAACAAUACUAAUAACACAGAGACGAAUUUACUAUGUACCUCUCCAUGGCCCUUUGGGGCAACUGUAAUUAUGAUUCUUCAAGCUUAGAGAAUUAUUAUGGAAGUCAAGUCAAUAUUUAAAGUAGUUCAUUUAGUUAAUUCACUGGAAGGCAAGAUUCUGAAGCUGAAUCUUAAAUACUGUGACCAUGCAACGUUGGGGAAAAUUAAGGCAAAAGGAAAAGAUGGCAGCAGAGGAUAAGACAGAUACUGUCACAGAAGCAUCCAUGAUCUUGGACAAACUGGGAAAUAGUGAAGUAUAGAUGGGCUUCUGGUACUAUGGGCCAUGGGGUUAAGAAAAAUCCUACAUGAUUGAACAAAUUACUAAUAUUAACAGUGACAAAAAUGUUUACAGUCCUAAAAUAGAGGAGGUUAUGUUGAUUUGGGAUCAAGCCACUGCCACUAAAAAAUUACAUGAAAGUUAUCUUUCAAGUUUCUAGAUUUAGUGAUUAUAAAUUAUGCAAGAAAAUAUUAGAAGUGACACAUCACAGGAGCCUGCAAGAAUUUAGGAUCUACUGAGUACCUAAUGAGAUAGGAUAUGGAAGCUCAAAUAUUUCAGAAACUUUAAUCUACCCAAUUUAAAAUGCCCUCAACCCACCAACUAUUCUAAAACAGAAAUUUUACAAGCAGAGCUAUUGUGCAUAAUUACCUGGAUAAAACUUAAGGGUUGCUGUUAAAAACUCAUGAUCCCCAAACUCACUGGAACAAAGACCUAUCAAAGAAGAAUAAUCCCUAUCAUCCCAAACUGCAACUGAUAUCCUGAGGAUGCUUUGAGCCUAAAAAAGAUGAAUCUACACCCUAAUAUUCAAUUACAAAAACAGAUCUUUAUCUACCUGUAUAACAAUCCAUAAAACAUCAAAGUAUUCUGAAGGAUUUAGGGCAGCUGGAAACUUUAAGAGAUUCUGGGAGUACCCUGAAUAAAAGAAUGAAAUCGUGACUUGUCCAGGACCUUUUCUAUCUGAGCUCUGGGGAUAGGGAGAAACAGAUGGAAAAAAUGAAAUAACAGCUGGCAUUCAUAAUAGCUUAAAAGGUUUGUAAAAUGCUUAUUCACUGUUUUGUUUAAUCACAACAACCUGGUGAAAUUAAUGUUUUUGUUAUCUUUCAGUCCUGCCCCAUUUGGAGUUUUCUUGGCAGAGAUACUGGAGUGGUGGGCCAUUUCCUUCUCCAGCUCAUUUUACAG